AGCGAACGCUGGCGGCAGGCCUAAUACAUGCAAGUCGAGCGGUCCCUUCGGGGGCAGCGGCGGACGGGUGAGUAACGCGUGGGAACGUGCCCUUUGGUACGGAACAACUGAGGGAAACUUCAGCUAAUACCGAAUAAGCCCUUCGGGGGAAAGAUUUAUCGCCGGAAGAUCGGCCCGCGUAAGAUUAGCUUGUUGGUGAG
rnacentral:rRNA from 1 species